GACGUAGGGGGCAAGCGUUGUCCGGAGUUACUGGGCGUAAAGCGCACGCAGGCGGUCGUCUGCGUAGACGGGGACAGGGGUCGGCUUAACUGACCCAGGCCCGGCUAAACGGGGCGACUUGAGCACGAGCGAGGGAGCGGGAAUUCCGGGUGGAGCGGUGAAAUGCGUAGAGAUCCGGAAGAACACCGAAGGCGAAGGCACGCUCCUGGCUCGGAGCUGACGCUCAGGUGCGAAAGCGAGGGGAGCAAACAGG
rnacentral:rRNA from 1 species